rnacentral:piRNA from 1 species
UAUGGGAUAGCCUUGGAUUCAUGUGUAU